GACGAACGCUGGCGGCGUGCUUAACACAUGCAAGUCGAACGAAGUGGCGAACGGGUGAGUAACGCGUAAUCAACCUGCCCUUCAGAGGGGGACAACAGUUGGAAACGACUGCUAAUACCGCAUACUGAAGGAGGGGAUUGCGGCUGAUUAGCUAGUUGGAGGGGUAACGGCCCAACAAGGCGAUGAUCAGUAGCCGGGCUGGAAGGGUGAACGGCCACAAUGGGACUUAGACACGGCCCAGACUCCUACGGGAGGGAGCAGUGGGGAAACUUCCGCCAUGGACGAAAGUCUGACGGAGCAACGCCGCGUGAGUGAUGACGGCCGUCGGGUUGUAAAGCUAUGUUAAUCGGGACGCGGUACCGGAAUAGAAAGCCACGGCUAACUACGUGCCAGCAGCCGCGGUAAUAC
rnacentral:rRNA from 1 species